GAUGAACGCUGGCGGCGUGCCUAAUACAUGCAAGUCGAGCGAACAGAUGAGGAGCUUGCUCCUCUGACGUUAGCGGCGGACGGGUGAGUAACACGUGGAUAACCUACCUAUAAGACUGGGAUAACUUCGGGAAACCGGAGCUAAUACCGGAUAAUAUAUUGAACCGCAUGGUUCAAUAGUGAAAGACGGUUUUGCUGUCACUUAUAGAUGGAUCCGCGCCGCAUUAGCUAGUUGGUAAGGUAACGGCUUACCAAGGCGACGAUGCGUAUCCGACCUGAGAGGGUGAUCGGCCACACUGGAACUGAGACACGGUCCAGACUCCUACGGGAGGCAGCAGUAGGGAAUCUUCCGCAAUGGGCGAAAGCCUGACGGAGCAACGCCGCGUGAGUGAUGAAGGUCUUCGGAUCGUAAAACUCUGUUAUUAGGGAAGAACAAAUGUGUAAGUAACUAUGCACGUCUUGACGGUACCUAAUCAGAAAGCCACGGCUAACUACGUG
rnacentral:rRNA from 1 species